CUGAUUUUGCGGCGCGAUUCGCUCUUGUGCAGCGUCGCGUACAUGACUAGGUAGCGUAAUUAAAGUUGUUGUGGUAAAAAGCAUGCCACUGCAGGGUAAACCUGUGGGUCUCUGGCGUGGCCGGUCCGCCUCACCGCGUGCACUGGUCCGGCCGGGCCUUUCCCUCUGUGGAACCCCAUACCCUUCACUGGGCGUGGCGGGGAAACAGGACAUUUACUUUGAAAAAAUUAGAGUGCUCCAGGCAGGCCUAUGCUCGAAUACAUUAGCAUGGAAUAAUAAAAUAGGACGCGCGGUUCUAUUUUGUUGGUUUAUAGGACCGCCGUAAUGAUUAAUAGGGACAGUCGGGGGCAUCAGUAUUCAACUGUCAGAGGUGAAAUUCUUGGAUCAGUUGAAGACUAACUACUGCGAAAGCAUUUGCGAAGGAUGUUUUCAUUAAUCAGGAACGAAAGUUAGGGGAUCGAAAGACGAUCAGAUACCGUCGUAGUCUUAACCAUAAACUAUGCCGACUAGGGGAUCGGACGGUGUUAUUCAUGACCCGUUCGGCACCUUACGAGAAAUCAAAGUGCUUGGGCUCCCAGGGGGAGUAUGGUCGCAAGGCUGAAACUUUAAAGAAAUUUGACGGAAGGGGCACCACCCAGCGCGGAGCCUGGCGGCCUAAUUUGAACUCAACACGGGGGAAACUUCGCCAGGGUCCCGGACACCAAUAAAGGGAUGGACAGAAUUUGAAGAAGACCUUUCUCUGGAUAUUGGUGGGUGGUGGGUGCCAUGGGACUGUUCUUUAGCUGUGGUCGCGAGGUAUAUGUUCUUUGUCUGAUUUUGCUAUAUACAAAAAGAAGACACAUUAAACUCUACUAUAAUAUGAGCCGCGAAUUGUUCUCCGGCGCGAGGCCUCUGCGCGUUCUUUUAAGAA
rnacentral:rRNA from 1 species